GGGCGGGUGGCGGAACGGCAGACGCGCACGGUUCAGGUCCGUGUGUCCGUGAGGACGUGAGGGUUCAAAUCCCUCCUCGCCCACCA
rnacentral:tRNA from 1 species